UGAUAGAGGAGCGGUUUUCAUCAGUAGUCCGAGUAAACGCCGGGAAGCGGCGGACGAAAGGGGACGCCGCCGAAGGGCUGUGUGCUUUCCCGGUCGCACGGCACCUGGGCCGACGGAGAAUAUCCGGCGGACUGUCGCAUUUUGCGGAGGGCUGUCA
rnacentral:ncRNA from 1 species